GAUGAACGCUGGCGGCGUGCCUAAUACAUGCAAGUCGAGCGAACAGACGAGGAGCUUGCUCCUCUGACGUUAGCGGCGGACGGGUGAGUAACACGUGGAUAACCUACCUAUAAGACUGGGAUAACUUCGGGAAACCGGAGCUAAUACCGGAUAAUAUAUUGAACCGCAUGGUUCAAUAGUGAAAGACGGUUUUGCUGUCACUUAUAGAUGGAUCCGCGCCGCAUUAGCUAGUUGGUAAGGUACGGCUUACCAAGGCAACGAUGCGUAGCCGACCUGAGAGGGUGAUGGGCCACACUGGAACUGAGACACGGUCCAGACACCUACGGGAGGCAGCGGUAGGGAAUCUUCCGCAAUGGGCGAAAGCCUGACGGAUCAACGCCGCGUGAGUGAUGAAGGUCUUCGGAGCGUAAAACUCUGUUAUUAGGGAAGAACAAAUGUGUAAGUAACUAUGCACGUCUUGACGGUACCUAAUCAGAAAGCAACGGCUAACUACGUG
rnacentral:rRNA from 1 species